AUUGAACGCUGGCGGCAGGCUUAACACAUGCAAGUCGAGCGGGGAAGGUAGCUUGCUACCUGACCUAGCGGCGGACGGGUGAGUAAUGCUUAGGAAUCUGCCUAUUAGUGGGGGACAACAUUCCGAAAGGAAUGCUAAUACCGCAUACGCCCUACGGGGGAAAGCAGGGGAUCUUCGGACCUUGCGCUAAUAGAUGAGCCUAAGUCAGAUUAGCUAGUUGGUGGGGUAAAGGCCUACCAAGGCGACGAUCUGUAGCGGGUCUGAGAGGAUGAUCCGCCACACUGGGACUGAGACACGGCCCAGACUCCUACGGGAGGCAGCAGUGGGGAAUAUUGGACAAUGGGCGAAAGCCUGAUCCAGCCAUGCCGCGUGUGUGAAGAAGGCCUUUUGGUUGUAAAGCACUUUAAGCGAGGAGGAGGCUACUUGGAUUAAUACUCUAGGAUAGUGGACGUUACUCGCAGAAUAAGCACCGGCUAACCCUGUGCCAGCAGCCGCCGUAAAAC
rnacentral:rRNA from 1 species